UACGUAGGGUGCAAGCGUUAAUCGGAAUUACUGGGCGUAAAGCGUGCGCAGGCGGUUUUGUAAGUCUGUCGUGAAAUCCCCGGGCUCAACCUGGGAAUUGCGAUGGAGACUGCAAGGCUAGAAUCUGGCAGAGGGGGGUAGAAUUCCACGUGUAGCAGUGAAAUGCGUAGAGAUGUGGAGGAACACCGAUGGCGAAGGCAGCCCCCUGGGUCAAGAUUGACGCUCAUGCACCGAAAGGCGUGGGGAGCAA
rnacentral:rRNA from 1 species